GGAGUUGUCAAUUAUACAUAUAUCUAUCUAUAUAUGCAAGCACUCUUACCCAAAUGCACACUAGAUAUGAAAAGGAAAUUAAAAAAUCCAUUUACAUUAUAUUUUCGUCAUGUUUAGUCAAAAAGACGACCACCUAACACAAAAACUUCUGUAACAUACUGAGAAUCAUCACCUAGCACAAAAAACUAUUGUAACAUACCGAGAAGCGAGAAUCAU
rnacentral:lncRNA from 1 species